rnacentral:rRNA from 1 species
GCUAAACGCGAAGAACCUUACCAAGGCUUGACAUACACGAGAACACUCUGGAAACAGGGGACUCUUUGGACACUCGUGAACAGGUGGUGCAUGGUUGUCGUCAGCUCGUGUCGUGAGAUGUUGGGUUAAGUCCCGCAACGAGCGCAACCCUCGUUCUAUGUUGCCAGCACGUUAUGGUGGGAACUCAUGGGAUACUGCCGGGGUCAACUCGGAGGAAGGUGGGGAUGACGUCAAAUCAUCAUGCCCCUUAUGUCUUGGGCUUCACGCAUGCUACAAUGGCCGGUACAAAGGGCUGCAAUACCGUGAGGUGGAGCGAAUCCCAAAAAGCCGGUCCCAGUUCGGAUUGAGGUCUGCAACUCGACUUCAUGAAGUCGGAGUCGCUAGUAAUCGCAGAUCAGCAACGCUGCGG